GACGAACGCUGGCGGCGUGCCUAAUACAUGCAAGUAGAACGCUGAAGAGAGGCGCUUGCUCUGCUUGGAUGAGUCGAGAACGGGUGAGUAACGCGUAGGUAAUCCGCUUUGUAGCGGGGGAAAAUUAUUAGAAACGAUAGCUAAUACCGCAUAAGAAUGGACGACACAUGUCAUUUAGUUGAGAGGCGCAAUUUGGCCACGGAAAGACGGACCUGCGGUGUAUUAGCUAGUAGGUGAGGUAACGACGCACGUAGGCGACGAUGCAUAGCCGACCUGAUAGGGUGGUCAGCCACACUGGGACUGUGACACGGCCCAGACUCCUACGGGUGGCAGCAGUAGGGAUUCGGCGGCAAUGGGUGCAAACUUGACCGAGCAACGCCGCAUGAGUGUAGAAGGUUUUCGGGUCGUAAAGCUCUGUUGUAAGUCAAUAACGGGUGUGAGAGUGGAAAGUUCACACUGUGACGGUAACUUACCAGAAAGGGACGGCUAACUACGUG
rnacentral:rRNA from 1 species